rnacentral:rRNA from 1 species
CCUACGGGUGGCAGCAGUGAGGAAUAUUGGUCAAUGGCCGUAAGUCUGAACCAGCCAAGUCGCGUGAAGGAAGAAUGAUCUAUGGUUUGUAAACUUCUUUUAUAGGGGAAUAAAGGUAUCCACGUGUGCAUAUUUGCAUGUACCCUAUGAAUAAGCAUCGGCUAACUCCGUGCCAGCAGCCGCGGUAAUACGGAGGAUGCGAGCGUUAUCCGGAGUGAUUGGGCGUAAAGGGUGCGUAGGCGGCCUGCUAAGUCUGUGGUGAAAGGUACGGGCUAAACCGGAAAUGGCAAUUGAAACUGGCGGUCUAGAGGACAGGUGAGGUCGGUGGAAUUCGAUGUGUAGCGGUAAAAUGCGUAGAUAUAUGGAAGAACACCGAUGGCGAAGGCAGCCGCCUGGCCUGUUACUGACGUUGAGGCACGAAAGCGUGGGGAGCAAAUAGGAUUAGAUACCCCAGUAGUC